rnacentral:rRNA from 1 species
CGGGAGGCAGCAGUGGGGAAUUUUCCGCAAUGGGCGAAAGCCUGAUGCAGCAACGCCGCGUGCGGGAUGAAGGCCUUAGGGUUGUAAACCGCUUUCAGCAGGGAAGAAAAUGACGGUACCUGUAGAAGAAGGUGCGGCCAACUACGUGCCAGCAGCCGCGGUGACACGUAGGCACCAAGCGUUGUCCGGAUUUAUUGGGCGUAAAGAGCUCGUAGGCGGUUCAGUAAGUCGGGUGUGAAAACUCUGGGCUCAACCCAGAGACGCCACCCGAUACUGCUGUGACUAGAGUGCGGUAGGGGAGCGGGGAAUUCCUAGUGUAGCGGUGAAAUGCGCAGAUAUUAGGAGGAACGCCAGUGGCGAAGGCGCCGCUCUGGGCCGUAACUGACGCUGAGGAGCGAAAGCGUGGGUAGCAAACAGGAUUAGAUACCCUGGUAGUCCACGCCGUAAACGUUGGGCACUAGGUGUGGGUCUCAACCAACGAGAUCCGCGCCGUCGCUAACGCAUUAAGUGCCCCGCCUGGGGAGUACGGUCGCAAGGCUAAAACUCAAAGGAAUUG